rnacentral:lncRNA from 1 species
UUGUAGCCGAUCCAUCAUCCAAGAUGGCCGCCAGCGGGGGACUUAGUUUAACAUAGGACCCUAUGGGAAAUGCAUACAAAUGACUUCUUCUAGAGAACCACUAAAUGGAAUGAAACCAAACAUAGCAUGAAUGUUCCUUAUGGAGUGCUGACCAAGUGUUGUUACUUUGUAGCCGAUCCAUCAUCCAAGAUGGCCGCCAGCGGGGGACUUAGUUUAACAUAGGACCCUAUGGGAAAUGCAUACAAAUGACUUAUUUUAGAGAACCACUGAAUGGAAUGAAACCAAACAUGGCAUGAAUGUUCCUUAUGAGGUGCUGACCAAGUGUUGUUACUUUGUUGCUGAUCCAUCAUCCAAGAUGGCUGCCAGCCGGGGACUUAGUUUAACAUAGGACCCUAUGGGAAAUGCAUACAAAUGACUUCUUUUAGAGAACCACUGAAUGGAAUAAAACCAAACAUAGC